rnacentral:rRNA from 1 species
CGCGUAGGCGGCCACCGCAAGUCGACUGUGAAAUCUCCGGGCUUAACUCGGAAAGGUCAGCCGAUACUGCGGGGCUAGAGUGCAGAAGGGGCAACUGGAAUUCUCGGUGUAGCGGUGAAAUGCGUAGAUAUCGAGAGGAACACCUGCGGCGAAGGCGGGUUGCUGGGCUGACACUGACGCUGAGGCGCGAAAGCUAGGGGAGCGAACG